AGGGAAAGUAUCCGGUUGGUGCAAAAGUAAUUGUGGUUUUUGCCAAUUCAAUGACAAACUGCAAUUACUUUUGCACCAACCUUAUAAUUCU
rnacentral:miRNA from 1 species